rnacentral:ncRNA from 14 species
CGGUUAGCUCAGCUGGGAGAGCAUCGCCCUUACAAGGCGAGGGUCACUGGUUCGAUCCCAGUAC